AAACAGAUUUCCAUAAAGAAAAGCUGCUUUAGAGUGCUACACUGUAAGAGGGGCCGGGCAAACAAGAAGGGACGGAGGAAAGACCACCAAGUGAGAGGCACAGGUGUCAGGACACACAGAGAGCCCGAAAACGAGGCAGAGUUUGGCUGCUGUAACUGACUGGGAAGCUUAAAAUAACAGACAAUCAUCUCUCACAUUUAUGGGGACUGGGAAGUCCAAGACCAAGUUGCCAUCUGGGGAGGGCCUGUUCCUCACAGCGCCUUCCAGCUCAGGCCUCGUUUAUAAGGGCACUCAAGCCUUCCACGACAACGGGUCCUCAUGACUUACUCACCUCGGAAAGCCCCACCCCCAAGACCAUCACAUUGUGGGUGAUGGCAGAGCAUAAGGUGCCUUCCCCACAUGCUCGGGUUGGCCCAGCGUCUCACGCUAGCAGCUACGUGGAAUAGUUAUUUUUUCUGGAGAACUCUGGGACCCCUCUGAUGUCUUGGAGCACCCACACAGGCCGUUCACUGUGCACGCUGUGAGGCUGUCGUCUUGGAGCACCCACACAGGCCGUUCACUGUGCACGUGGUGAGGCUGUCCUCUGGGGAGUUCUGCUGUUGUAUGGGUUCUGUCUGUGUCAAUGUCCCAGCGGGAACGCAGGGCACACUAGCGUCAUCCCCAGAGGGCUUGGUAAGGGGACUGUUUGCAGAGACAUAGGCAGAGGGCUGGAAAACUACCAAAAAAGUGCAGUGUUCUGGACCUAAUAAUAGCAGAGCUAUUCUCACCCUGGUCUGAAGGCAGGAGGGGAGGAGCAGUUAAUGGAUUCUGGAAGUCAGGUUGCACAGAGUCACCUUGAAAGAUGCCAUGACCUUCACCGAGGGCCAGACAGAGACUAAGAUGACCCCAUAGGAGAAUAAGACCUAGACCUCAUCCUCCUGCCUCCUGCCAGUCCCUGCCAGGGGUCGCCAAUGGCAAAACAGGACUGGAAGCCAGAGGCCAUGGAAGCCCAUGGAUGAAGUCCACAGGCCAGCCUCCCCGAGAGCAGCCUGGACGGUCCGCAGGAGACGUCUCCUGUCUUAGGCGUCCCACGCCGCGUGCUCCUGUUCAGCCCUGCCGAGGUGGAAGCUUGGAGUGGCUCACGGUGGAUGCAUUGACGCUGCAGACGCCAGCAAGUGCUACAAACCAGAGCUGGCCUUUAACUCAGACUGAUGGAGAAGGUGUUAAUAAUGCAGAUUAGACUUAAAAGUGUUGAAGCCAUUGCACUGUGAACAGCAAAAAAAUUGAAGAACUCUUCUGGCAUUUAAAAACAAUUACUCAGUUCAGCAGAGAAGUCACUGACAAACGAGAUCACACUGACUGCUUUGUCGUUUUGGUUUUGUCUUACUCAUUAAUGCAAAUAAGAACAUUCACUAGCAUCUGUGUCGGGCCUACCCUCCCUGGUCAAAUACAGCUACAGUCUCCCUGCAGAAACGAGUUUUCCAGAAAUGAGCCGAUGUUUUCUGCGAGAAUCAAUUGGUCAUAUACAAUUUACAAAAAUGAGUACUGUAUACUAUAUUUGUAAACUGUACACUGCAGAUGCUUUAUUUCACUGAAAUUUAUAAUACACUUAUCCAUGUAUAUGCAUGCAUGCAUUUUUGUUCCUGAGAUCCAGCUGUGAAAUGUUUACCAGCACAUAAAUUACCAGCACAUGCUCUUUUUUGUUAACCUACUAGGUAAAAUCUUCAUUUAUUACAUCAAAUUCUUGUAGUUUUUGUAUUGCAAUUAUGCAGAUAUUGAUUAUCGCAGUAUUACUGCAAUUAUACAGAUACCACAAUUUCAGAUAUUGAUCAGCGUGUUCAGUUGGUUUCUAAGGAGGUUUACUUACCUCAUGGUACACCUAGUUUGCAUAGUUUGAUUAUAUUUAACUCUUAUGCUAAUUGGGGGAAGUCAUUGAUUUAUUGGACAGAUGCACCUGUGGUCUUCCCUGAGCACAUCCUGGCCAAGGAUGCUGCCCCCAGGAGAUUUGAGAAGUCCUGUAAGGAUCAUAUCAGUAUUUUCAAAUACUUAUAGAAAAGCCAGAGGGAUUGACCCAGAAUUACCAAUAUAAGCUUGACCCUGAGAUAACAAUGCCAUUUUAUGUUUGCAUGCAUAAAACCAAUGCAAGAGGCUGAUGACUCCAGAUCCCUUAUAUAAGCCAAUAAAAAGUAGUUUCAUUUUUUAUUUCAUUUAAAAAA
rnacentral:lncRNA from 1 species